rnacentral:misc_RNA from 1 species
GACACUAAUCUUACAAGACUAUAGCUUUGAACUUUGCUAUAAUUUCAACAGCUAGCCAAGCUCUUGGCAUUUCAACAAAAGUAAUAAUAAUAGAAAAAGGGGAAAAAAAGGUAAAAGAAGAGGAAAUUAAAAGUGUCACAUCUGCAUAUGUGAAUGUUUAUGAACAUAGAAGCCAAUCGUAUGAUGCCUUUCAUGGAUCAUAAAUUAUGUUUCUGUUUUGC